GUCGCCGUCAGUGCUGGCCGGCUUCGGCAAGUGCACGUCGGUGACUUUCAUCCAAUACCCUGUGAACCUUUGGCCUCUUGCUAGCUUCGGCCGGCAGAGGAWUUUUACACAAACUCGAAUGUAAUGAAAUUUAUUGUCGUGCGCAAGCACUAAUGUACAACUUUCAACAACGGAUCUCUUGGCUCUCGCAUCGAUGAAGAACGCAGCGAAAUGCGAUAAGUAAUGUGAAUUGCAGAAUUCAGUGAAUCAUCGAAUCUUUGAACGCACCUUGCACCCUUUGGCAUUCCGAAGGGUAUGCUCGUUUGAGUGUCAUUGUACUCUCACUCUCCCGAUGCUUUUGGAUCGGGAGUGGUGGACUUGGGUGUUGCUGCUUCACUGUGGCUCGCCUCAAAUGGAGUAGUGCAACUCUUGGUUGGACAUAGUACGGCGUGAUAAGUGUCUUCGCCGGCGCCUCACUAGAGGGUGGCCGAUCGGGAGCUCUGUGCUUCAAACCGUCUUCGGACAACAUCUGACAACUUGACCUCAAAUCGAGUAGGACUACCCGCUGAACUUAAGCAUAUCAAUA
rnacentral:rRNA from 1 species